GACAGAGGGUGCAAACGUUGUUCGGAAUUACUGGGCGUAAAGCGCGUGUAGGCGGCUGUGUAAGUCGGAUGUGAAAGCCCAUGGCUCAACCAUGGAAGUGCACCCGAAACUGCAUAGCUAGAGUAUCGGAGAGGAAGGUGGAAUGCUUGGUGUAGAGGUGAAAUUCGUAGAUAUCAAGCGGAACACCGGUGGCGAAGGCGGCCUUCUGGACGAUUACUGACGCUGAGACGCGAAAGCGUGGGUAGCAAACAGG
rnacentral:rRNA from 1 species